UACGAAGGGGGCUAGCGUUGCUCGGAAUCACUGGGCGUAAAGGGUGCGUAGGCGGGUCUUUAAGUCAGAGGUGAAAUCCUGGAGCUCAACUCCAGAACUGCCUUUGAUACUGAAGAUCUUGAGUUCGGGAGAGGUGAGUGGAACUGCGAGUGUAGAGGUGAAAUUCGUAGAUAUUCGCAAGAACACCAGUGGCGAAGGCGGCUCACUGGCCCGAUACUGACGCUGAGGCACGAAAGCGUGGGGAAGCAAACAGG
rnacentral:rRNA from 1 species